UUUCCGUAGGUGAACCUGCGGAAGGAUCAUUCAUAAUAAGUGUUUUAUGGCACUUUUUUAAAUCCAUAUCCACCUUGUGUGCAAUGUCAGGGUUGAUUUCUCUCUCAAGAGGAUCAGCCCCAAACAUCAACUAUAUCUCGACUCUUUGUCUGAAAAAUAUUAUGAAUAAAACAAUUCAAAAUACAACUUUCAACAACGGAUCUCUUGGCUCUC
rnacentral:misc_RNA from 1 species